GAUGAACGCUGGCGGCGUGCCUAAUACAUGCAUGUCGAGCGAACAGACGAGGAGCUUGCUCCUCUGACGUUAGCGGCGGACGGGUGAGUAACACGUGGAUAACCUACCUAUAAGACUGGGAUAACUUCGGGAAACCGGAGCUAAUACCGGAUAAUAUAUUGAACCGCAUGGUUCAAUAGUGAAAGACGGUUUUGCUGUCACUUAUAGAUGGAUCCGCGCCGCAUUAGCUAGUUGGUAAGGUAACGGCUUACCAAGGCGACGAUGCGUAGCCGACCUGAGAGGGUGAUCGGCCACACUGGAACUGAGACACGGUCCAGACUCCUACGGAGGCAGCAGUAGGGAAUCUUCCGCAAUGGGCGAAAGCCUGACGGAGCAACGCCGCGUGAGUGAUGAAGGUCUUCGGAUCGUAAAACUCUGUUAUUAGGGAAGAACAAAUGUGUAAGUAACUAUGCACGUCUUGACGGUACCUAAUCAGAAAGCCACGGCUAACUACGUG
rnacentral:rRNA from 1 species